GGCGAUAUCCAGGUUAACUUAUUUGAAAAGAACACUUGCCCAACUAGAAGAUGAUGGAAGCCAGAGCAUGUUGAGCAUUGGAAGAACAAUUUGGUUUUGAUGCUUGGCAAUGAGAAACAAUACAAUCAAGAGACCGUCCGUUUCAAGGUGAACUAUAUGAACAUUUUUUUUUAAGCGAGUUAAGAAGAUCCAGCUGAAAAGAGCAUGCAAGAUAGAGAACUGGUGAGUUGCCGGAUGCAUGUGCAGAUUACUCGAAUAGACGAAGCUAAGAAUGACUUAGUAUUGAGUGAGAAAAAAGCUUGGGUCAAUUGGAUUUUGACAUUUGAUUUAUUCAUGUUUUUUGUUGCUUGCAAUGUUCUCUCAUUGUUUGUUCUGAUAUUCUGUGAUCUUAUUUUUCAUAAGAACUGACAUUGGUUUGCCAUAUAAUGUUUCAGGAACUAUUAUACCUUAAU
rnacentral:sRNA from 1 species